CUCGUUACAACGAAUCAUUUUAAAUACAAAAAUACCAGUUGCAGCCUUUUGUUUAUCUAUUAAUAUAUGUAUACGGAUAAAGUUAUGAAAGGCAGCAGGGUCACCAGGGUGAGGAGUCCAUGUCAUCUGAAAUAAAUGCUAAGCAUAGAUCUAGAAAGCGACAGAUAAUCAUGACAUUAAAAAAAACUCUCUUCUUUUCGACUUUUUUCGAACAAAUUGACACAUAAAAUGAAUUAUAUAGUAUUGUGGAAUUUUUAACUUGUGUUCAAUUCAUUGGUUACACCUUUUACUAGGAUAACAAUCCUGUCAAGUAUGAGCUGGGUAAAAUAUUUCAGAAAAGAAGAUGGAAAUGUGAAAGUUUCCGUGCGUCAGGUGCAACAGCAUACGAACAGCUAACAUGCCUCGUCAGGGUGGAAGCUAAAAAGUCCACGAAAAUUUGAUUUAAAACCUUUAUUCGUUCCAACAAAGUUAUUGAGAUUUUGUUGAGGAUUUAACCAUCUACGACAACAAGAAUUUUUUUUUUAGAAUUUACAGCUCUUCUAUAAAUAUAUGCAAAGCAAACCAUUGAUUAAAUUGCUUGCUAUGAUUGUUUGGAUGUUUGUAAACGACAGGUAAGUAGUCUGU
rnacentral:lncRNA from 1 species